rnacentral:rRNA from 1 species
UACGGAGGAUGCAAGCGUUAUCCGGAAUGAUUGGGCGUAAAGCGUCCGCAGGUGGCUGUGUAAGUCUGCUGUUAAAGAGUGAGGCUCAACCUCAUAAAAGCAGUGGAAACUACACAGCUAGAGUGCGUUCGGGGCAGAGGGAAUUCCUGGUGUAGCGGUGAAAUGCGUAGAGAUCAGGAAGAACACCGGUGGCGAAGGCGCUCUGCUAGGCCGCAACUGACACUGAGGGACGAAAGCUAGGGGAGCAAACGGG